rnacentral:tRNA from 1 species
GGAAGAGUGCCAGAGUGGUCUAUCGGAACUGUCUUGAAAACAGUCGUCUCUGAAAGGGGACCGUGAGUUCGAAUCUCACCUCUUCCG